rnacentral:rRNA from 1 species
UACGACGGGGGCGAGCGUUGUUCGGAUUUACUGGGCGUACAGGGCGCGCAGGCGGCGAUCUUAGUCAGGCGUGAAAGCCCUGGGCUUAACCUGGGAGGUGCGCUUGGGACGGGAUUGCUAGAGAUCGGGAGAGGAGCGUGGAAUUCCCAGUGUAGAGGUGAAAUUCGUAGAUAUUGGGAAGAACACCGGUGGCGAAGGCGGCGCUCUGGACCGAUACUGACGCUGAGGCGCGAAAGCGUGGGGAGCAAACAGG